ACUAUGGAUACGAGGACCCAGUUAUAAAGACAAGGGGACCCAAGGCCAAGAACCGCAUGUCACCCAUGUUGAAGGUCCCGGAAGAGGCCCGGCGUCCUGUGUGAACGAAUGAGGCGGGUGCGCUGGGCAGUUCAUCUGAUCCCACCGUGGUGUGUGAGGUGGGGAGACUGAGGCUCGGCGGCAGCACUGCCGUCCUCCUGCGGGCCUCCACCGGAGACUUCCCCCUUUCCUCGUCGCUGACUCCUGGCCUGAUAAGGAGGGUCGGCGAGGGUCGGCGAGGGUCGGCGAGGGUCGGCGAGGGUCGGCAGCCCGAGGCCUUUGCUGGAGGCGCAGCUCAAGGAGAAGCUGUCUUCGCAGACCAGUGAGGUCUCGCUUUUGGCCCCUCGUCAGCCAUGGAUGUGCAGAACCCAGCCUGGGGACACCCUGGGAGCUGGCGCUGCUCAGCAGAGAGCCUGGGACAGUGUUGGUCACGUGACGGCGUGGGCAUUAAAUGUGCAGGCUCGAGCGCCUGGCUCCCCAGAAUUCAGACCCCAGCCUCGGAUCGCACACUGGUGCAGCCGCUCUGCAAAGCAGUGCGGACGUUCCUCAAGAAGUUAAAAACAGAGCUGCCCUGCGGCCCAGCAAUUGUACUACCAGGGAUUUACCCCAAAGGUACAGAUGUAGUGACCGAAGGGGCACCUGCACCCCGGUGUUCACAGCAGCAGUGUGCACAGGGGCCAGGUUGUGGAAAGAGCCCAGAUGUCCACCGACGGCUGAUGGAUAAAGAAGAUGCGGUGCACACACAAGAGUAUUGCUCAGCCAUCAAAAACACGAAAGUCUGCCGCCUGCAACACCGUGGGUGGGACCGGGGGAUAUUAUUCUCAGUGAAAUAAGUCAAUCAGAGAAAGACAAUUGUCACAUGAUCUCACUCUCAAUCACAG
rnacentral:lncRNA from 1 species